rnacentral:rRNA from 1 species
AGGCCGCUGCUAUCCGGCUGGGACUAAGCCAUGCUAGUCAAGGGGCUUGUACCCUUCGGGGUGCAAGCACCGGCGGACGGCUCAGUAACACGUGGACAACCUGCCCUCGGGAGGGGGAUAACCCCGGGAAACUGGGGCUAAACCCCCAUAGGUCAUGGGUACUGGAAUGUCCCAUGACCGAAAGUCCGCUUUGCGGAGCCCGAGGAUGGGUCUGCGGCGGAUUAGGUUGUUGGCGGGGUAACGGCCCGCCAAGCCGAAGAUCCGUACGGGCCAUGAGAGUGGGAGCCCGGAGAUGGACCCUGAGACAAGGGUCCAGGCCCUACGGGGCGCAGCAGGCGCGAAACCUCCGCAAUGCGGGAAACCGCGACGGGGCUAGCCGGAGUGUCCGCGCAACGCGCGGACUGUCGGGGUGCCUAAAAGCACCCCACAGCAAGGGCCGGGCAAGGCCGGUGGCAGCCGCCGC